rnacentral:ncRNA from 1 species
GGAAUUUGUUAUGAAUUGUAGUCAAUUCACUAUGAGGGGGGUAUUAGGAGCCUAUAAGACAGUGGAAAUAGCAUAACCCUUUUUUUUGGGAAAAUGAAUAAUUGGAAAAUAUUUUCCUCAUUAUGAUCUCUUAUAAAAAUAUAUUUUUUUAUUGUUUCCAAAAUGUUUAGACGUAAAUUGUUAGAGAUAAUUAAUUUUUUUGUUUGAUGAGCCUGUGUAGUAUUAGGUAAUUGGUCAAGUAAAGGUUGACUAAGCCAAUGAAGCUUAGUUGGUCUUUUGGGAUGAUUGGCCGCACUGGGAUUGAAACACUGCCCAGACUCCCCGAGAGUUAGCAGUGGAGAAUCUUGGAUAAUGGGCAAAAGCUUGAUCCAGCAAUAUUGCAUGAGUGAAGAAGGUCAAUGUCGCUUCUAAAGCUCUUUUGUCGAGUGUGUGAUCAUGAUAGAACUCAAGGAAGAAACCCUGGCUAACUCUGUGCCAGCAACGGCAGGAAGAUGAGGGGGAG